rnacentral:lncRNA from 1 species
UUUUUUUUUUUUUUUGAGAUGGAGUCUCGCUCUGUCAUCAGGCUGGAGUGCAGUGGCGGGAUCUCGGCUCACUGCAAGCUCCGACUCCCUGGUUCAAGCGAUUCUCCUGCCUCAGUCUCCUGAGUAGCUGGGAUUACAGGCACAUGCCACAACGCCCAGUUAAUUUUUGUAUUUUCAGUAGAGACGGGGUUUCACUAUGUUGGCCAGGCUGGCUUCAAACUCCUGACCUCGUGAUCUGCUCGCUUCUGCCUCCCAAAGUGUUGGGAUUACAGGCGUGAGCUACCGCGCUCAGCCAAACUGGAGAUUUUAAAACAUCUUUACCUCAUUAACAGAACAAGUUAGGCAAAUAACAAAUAAAGACUCAGGGUAUUAAACUGCUGUAGUCAAGAUUACCAACAACUUUCACACUGCAAAAAUCCAAUAGUGGAUUCUUAGUCUUCAGCUUAUCUGAGUUCUCUCGGUAGCAUUUGACACAAUUGACCACUCUCUUUUCCUCGAAACAUUUUCCUCACCUGGUGUUUGGACUUUCUUCCAACCUCAUUGGCUGUUUCACCUCAAUCUUCUUUGCUAUGUCUUCCUAACUCUUUGACCUCUAAAUGUUGGAGUGUCCCAGAAGAGUUCUUCCUUGACCUAAAUUCACUCAUCCAGACUCAAUGCAUUUAAUGCCAUCUAGAUGUUGACAACACAUGUUUAUAGCUCCAGCCUGGAUUUCUUCCUCAACUUCCAGGCUGUUAUGUCAGCUUCCUCCUUCACAUCUCCAUGCUGAUAAUGUAUAGACAAUACAAACUUAGCACAUUACAAAUUGAAUGUGAAUCUACUCCUUGUCCGAAACUUGUACCACCAUCUUGUGCAUCUGUCUGUUUUAUGAGUCAGACAUUUUGGAUUUAUCGAUGACCCCUCUCUUGCACACCACCCACACAUUCAAUCUAUAAGCAAAGCUUGUCAGCUCUACCUUUAAAAAGUAUCCAGAGUUUGACUAUUUCUCAAUACUUUGGUACCAGUCACAGUCAUAUGCCUCACUGGGGUUACUGCAAUAGAUUCUUAAUUGAUCUUUUUACAAGUGCCCUUGCUCCACCCUCAACCCUAUUCUCAAAAGUGACCAUUAUGUCACUUUUCCACUCAAAAUCCUCUAGUGGCUUCCCACCUCUCUCAGAGUAAGAUGCAAAGUCUGUCCAAUGACCCUACAUGAUAAUAUCUUUCUGACCUUUUUUGCUACUCCUCUGCUCAGACACAGAGUUCUCCCUGCUGUUCUUCAAUUACCAAUCAAUGUCCUGCUCAAGGUUUUGCCCUCAUGACCCUUCUGGUGUGGAAGACUCUCAGAUAUGUGUGAGGCUCCCUUCAUCACCAACUUCAAGCUUCUACUCAUAGUCCUCUGCUAAAUGAUGAUGUUUUCCUCAACUACCUUAUUUUAAUUCAGAAGUGCCAUUCCCAACCCCCACAAUGCUUAUUACCAUCUGACGAACACUAGAUUUUACUUGUUUAUUAUCUGUCUGCCUCACUAGAGUGUAAGCUCCAUGAGAACAGU